GACAGAGGUGCCGAGCGUUUAGGCGGAAUCACUGGGCUUAAAGCGUGUGUAGGCGGACUUGUAAGUACCUUGUGAAAUCCCACGGCUCAACCGUGGAACUGCUUGGUAUACUGCUUGUCUUGGGCCACUUAGGGGUUACCGGAACAAACGGUGGAGCGGUGAAAUGCGUAGAUAUCGUUUGGAACGCCAAUGGUGAAACAGGUA
rnacentral:rRNA from 1 species